GGCCGCCUGGUGUAGUUGGUUAUCACGCAUCCUUCACAUCUGGAUCGGAUGAGGUCUUGGGUUCAAGUCCCAAGGUGGUCA